rnacentral:siRNA from 1 species
UUUGAAUGCCACUGGAGACAGU